GCGGUCGUGGUGGAAUUGGUAGACACGCUAGCUUGAGGUGCUAGUGGUCGAAAGGCUAUGCUGGUUCAAGUCCAGUCGACCGCA
rnacentral:tRNA from 1 species